rnacentral:rRNA from 1 species
GACGAACGCUGGCGGCGUGCUUAACACAUGCAAGUCGAACGGAAAGUUUUUUUUUUUGUGGGGUGCUCGAGUGUCUAACGUGUGAGUAACACGUUAGUAACCUGCCCUUGACUUUGGGAUAAUUUCAGGAAACUGGGGCCAAUACCGGAUAGGAGCUCCUGCUGCCUGGUGGGGGCUGGCAAGUUUCGGCGGUUGGGGUUGGACUCUCGGCUUAUCAGCUUGUUGGUGGGGUAGUGACUUACCAAGACUUUGACGGGUAGCCGGCCUGAGCGGGUGACCGGCCACAAAGGGACGAAGAUGCGGCGAAGACUCAUACGGGGGGGGGGAGGGGGGAAGAUUGGACAGUAGGGGGAAGACGGAUGCAGGAACAACGCAGGAGGGAGGAAGGACGUCGGAGUGUAGUCCGCUUCCGCCUGUGAAGAAGCGAGAGUGACGGUAACGGGUGAAGAAGCACCGGCUAACUACGUG